ACAUUGACAAUAAGAAAAGUGAAGUUUCUGUCCUAAGAAAUGGAAAAGAAAAUACAGUGUAUUGAGCUUCUGCCAUGUGCCAGACACAUUAUCUAUGGGUGCUGUGUGUCACAGAUUAACCUCAUAAGGCCAGUUCCCCAAGAUGGAUUGCCUUGCAUUAAAAUCCUGCCUCUGCCAUUUAACAGCCAUGUGACUUUGGGCAAGUCUACGAAGUCUACAAGCCUCCACUUACUCAUGUGUAAAGUAAGGAUAGUAAUAAAUACCUCUCACGGUUGCUACCAAGUUGACUGUAAAAUGGGGCUGAUAUCACCUACUUGAGAUUGUAAGGAUGAGGAUUAUGUAUGCAAAAUACCCAUCAGAGAUGAAGCAUGGUAGACAUCCAAACAUUUUUAGCUUUGUGCUUGGAAUCUGGAGUCAGCCAGAAAUGAACUUGAGACCAGACUGUACCAUUAACACAUAAAAAUUACCUAACUCCUCUAAAUACCACUUUCAUCUGCAAAAUGGGAACAACAUUAGUAUUUCUUCAUUAGAUUGGUGCCAGAGAGUGUGCUUUGCACACUGCCAGAUAAGGAGUCCAAGGACAAAGAUACUAAGAGACUUUGCUGAGGUCAAGCACAGAAUGGAAAUGAGACCAACAAAAAAAAAGAAAAAGUGCUGUGCUCCCAAAGAAACAAAAAACCUAAAUAGCAGAUGCUUUUUAGCAACUUUCUGAAGAGCUCCAGCACCCACAACUGAAGACAAUAAACAGGAAUUUCAAAAUGUCACAUGGGGACAAGGGUUCCAAAAAAGAAAAGGCUGGAUGCUUUUAAGGAGUUUGGUAUUUAAAAAAAAAAAAAAACUGCUAAUAAAAUUAUGAGUAAGAAUAGUAUCUGGACAAUCAAGUGCUUAAUAAAUCGAUUUUAGACAUUAAGGGUUCUUGCUUGAAUAUUUGAC